rnacentral:rRNA from 1 species
CAGUUGUAAGUAAAUAAAGAUUAUGAAAGCAAAAAAUUCUGGCGGUAUUUUAAGCUUUUCAGAGGAAUUUGCUCUUUAAUGGAUAAAACACCUAAAUCUUACUUAAAUUUGUUAAUUCAAUUUGUAUACCACUAUAAAAACAAUUUAUAACUUUAAUUGUUGAUAUUUAUUAAAUUAAAAUAUAUUAAGUCAAGGUGCAGUAAAAAUUUAAGGAUGAAGUGAAUUACAUUACUUUUUAGAGAAAUAAAUUUAAAAUAAUAUUUAGGAUUUGAAAGUAAAAUUAAAAUAUAAUGUUAAUUUGAAUUAAGCUCUAAAAUAUGUACAUAUCGCCCGUCACUCUUUAUUAAGAUAAGUCGUUACAUAG